rnacentral:rRNA from 1 species
CCUACGGGAGGCAGCAGUGGGGAAUAUUGGACAAUGGGCGCAAGCCUGAUCCAGCCAUGCCGCGUGUGUGAAGAAGGCCUUCGGGUUGUAAAGCACUUUUAUCCGGAAAGAAAAGCUUUGGGUUAAUACCCUGAAGUCAUGCGGUACCGGAAGAAUAAGCACCGGCUAACUUCGUGCCAGCAGCCGCGGUAAUACGAAGGGUGCAAGCGUUACUCGGAAUUACUGGGCGUAAAGCGUGCGUAGGUGGUUUGUUAAGUCUGAUGUGAAAGCCCUAGGCUCAACCUGGGAAUUGCAUUGGAUACUGGCAGGCUAGAGUGCGGUAGAGGAUAGUGGAAUUCCCGGUGUAGCAGUGAAAUGCGUAGAGAUCGGGAGGAACAUCUGUGGCGAAGGCGACUAUCUGGACCAGCACUGACACUGAGGCACGAAAGCGUGGGGAGCAAACAGGAUUAGAUACCCUGGUAGUCCACGCCCUAAACGAUGCGAACUGGAUGUUGGGUGCAACUAGGCACUCAGUAUCGAAGCUAACGCGUUAAGUUCGCCGCCUGGGGAGUCGGUCGCAAGACUGAACUCAAAUGAAUUGACGG